rnacentral:rRNA from 1 species
UACAGAGGUCUCAAGCGUUGUUCGGAUUCUUUGGGCGUAAGGGGUGCGUAGGCGGCGCGGUAAUUCGGGUGUGAAAUCUUGGAGCUUAACUCCGAAACUGCAUUCGAUACUGCCGUGCUUGAGGACUGGAGAGGAGACUGGAAUUUACGGUGUAGCGGUGAAAUGCGUAGAUAUCGUAAGGAAGACCAGUGGCGAAGGCGGGUCUCUGGACAGUUCCUGACGCUGAGGCACGAAGGCCAGGGGAGCAAACGGG